rnacentral:lncRNA from 1 species
CCUCUUCAGAAUCCUUUGUCAAUGGCAGCCAUGUCUUCAUGAGCCUCAAAAAACUCCUUCCUCCAUGCUCUCAACCACAUACCAAUGAACAAAGGCACAUUUAGCAUACAUCAGGCCAAAUCUGUGGUCCAGGUGAGCCCAGGCCUCAGGAUUGGCUAUGGCUUUGCCCAGCAUGCACACAGCUCACUCUCCAGACCUUUGGUCAGGUCUCUAAGUACCACAGUGGGAGGCUGUCAUUUAAUGCUGACUUUGAAGCCAGUGGAGCACAAGCCUACAAACUGGAUGGUAUGCAUGGUCUUGAUGGUGACAGUGGCAGCACUGACAUCUCUGGGAACCACACUGCCAUGGUACAACAGGCAGCAAGCCAUGUAUUUACCAUGGCAAGAGUCAAAUUUUGCCAUCUGGUUGGCUGAGUCAAAGCAUGUACUGGUAGGCUUUUCAUGGUACAGAAAACUGUUCAUGGUAGGCUUUCUCAGCAGAGAUGACAGGAGCAUAUAUGGCCAGAGGGAAUGGAUAUAGUGAUAGGGUACCAGGGUGGUCUGGAAUCCUGUCUGAUCAGCAUUCAGGGCUCCAUCAAAUCUGAGGGAAGCAGUGAUGGAGAACACAAUUUGACCUAUCAACCUAAUUCGGUUAGUAUAGGUUAGGCAUUCAAUACUGAGGUUUCUAUAACAGAUGUCCUAGAUGACCUUGUUGUCUACCAUGAAGCCACAGAGUGCUUCAGGGUGGUGUGGGUAGUGAGGACAGAGUAAUAGGGCUCAACAACAGCUGUGGAAAUCUGGGGGUGGGGGAGCGCUGGGUAAAUGGAGAACUCCAGCUUGGACUUCUUCUCAACAAAGAAAGAUUCCAUCAGCAAGGAGGUGAA